UAUUAUGAGAGUUUGAUCCUGGCUCAGGACGAACGCUGGCGGCGUGCCUAAUACAUGCAAGUCGAACGCUUCUUUCCUCCCGAGUGCUUGCACUCAUUUGGAAAGAGGAGUGGCGGACGGGUGAGUAACACGUGGGUAACCUACCCAUCAGAGGGGGAUAACACUUGGAAACAGGUGCUAAUACCGCAUAACAGUUUAUGCCGCAUGGCAUAAGAGUGAAAGGCGCUUUCGGGUGUC
rnacentral:rRNA from 1 species